UGGGGAAUUUUGGACAAUGGGCGCAAGCCUGAUCCAGCCAUGCCGCGUGAGUGACGAAGGUCUUCGGAUUGUAAAACUCUUUUGGCGGGGACGAUAAUGACGGUACCCGCAGAAUAAGCCCCGGCUAACUUCGUGCCAGCAGCCGCGGUAAUACGAAGGGGGCUAGCGUUGUUCGGAAUCACUGGGCGUAAAGCGCACGUAGGCGGAUGUGCCAGUCAGGGGUGAAAUCCCGGAGCUCAACUCCGGAACUGCCUCUGAUACAGCACGUCUUGAGUUCGAGAGAGGUGGGUGGAAUUCCUAGUGUAGAGGUGAAAUUCGUAGAUAUUAGGAAGAACACCGGUGGCGAAGGCGGCCCACUGGCUCGAUACUGACGCUGAGGUGCGAAAGCGUGGGGAGCAAACAGGAUUAGAUACCCGGGUAGUCCCUGAGCGGGCUGGCAAGGCGCAU
rnacentral:rRNA from 1 species